rnacentral:lncRNA from 1 species
ACAUCAUACAGUAUUGAAUUGAGCUUUAGAUGGACGUGAAACUUUAUUUUUUGUAAACUAGCAUUGAAACUUUUUGAAGUUCUCAUACAGUAUUGAAUCGAGCUUCAGAUGGCGUGAAACGGUGGCUCCUGGCCUUGCAAUGGCCGAGCCAAGUUGUUUAUAACUGGUACUUUUAUUUUUUGUAAGAAGUUCAUACUACUUGGUAUACUUGCUCUGACUAAGACUCCACCUAAGCGCUGAGGUUAGCUGCCGGCAUGCAGCAAGGCGCCAGCAUACGCUUCAUGUGCGAACUUUCAGGUGGGCAAAGCCGGCCCGGCGAGGUCGAGCCCGGAAAGGGGAACUAGAAGACUGAAGAAACAGACUGGUAGAUUGUGCCAAGAAGAUGAGUCCAGGUCUACGAAAGGACCAGGAAAAUCAUUAAUAACGAACUAACUAAAAACAUCAUUUAGCGGUGAGAAUAAAAAUUACGGCUCAAUCUAAAAAAAACAAUAAAAAAUUACAGUGUGAGAUAGGGUCAUCGUGGACUAGAGAAUGGGCCUAGUCAGUGUAAUCUCUCGGGAAGCCUAGAUGGGCCUACCGAAAGCCACCUGAUCAGCUGGCCCGGCUUAGCGUUCCUCUCAAAAAAGAAAAAAGCUGGCCCGGCUUAGACAUAAACAUGAAAGAGAAGAAUCAAAAGCCCACCGCAACAAACGAGUCCCGUACAGACCGUAUACCC